rnacentral:rRNA from 1 species
GCUUGCGCUCAUGUGAACGAGUCUCAUCCGGUAGAGCGAAUGAUUAGAGGCCUUGGGGUCGAAACGACCUCAACCUAUUCUCAAACUCCAAAUAGAUGAGAACUCCGGCUUUCUUGAAUUUUUUUUGAAGCCGGGGCUCGGAUCAGAGUGCCAAGUGGGCCAAUUUUGGUAAGCAGAACUGGCGCUGUGG